rnacentral:rRNA from 1 species
UACGUAGGGUGCGAGUGUUAAUCGGAAUUACUGGGCGUAAAGCGUGCGCAGGCGGCUUUGCAAGACAGAUGUGAAAUCCCCGGGCUCAACCUGGGAACUGCAUUUGUGACUGCAAGGCUAGAGUACGGCAGAGGGGGAUGGAAUUCCGCGUGUAGCAGUGAAAUGCGUAGAUAUGCGGAGGAACACCGAUGGCGAAGGCAAUCCCCUGGGCCUGUACUGACGCUCAUGCACGAAAGCGUGGGGAGCAAACAGG